rnacentral:lncRNA from 1 species
UAUGCAUGAGGCUGGUUCACAGGGCUCAGAUCAAACAUAAUGGACGCUCUGGGCUGGCUGCAGAUGAGCUCAAUAAAGUUGCCAUUUCUACAUGGUGGUGUGGAGACGGAACCAUGGGUGUGAACAGUACUAGCUUUGCUGCCCAGCGGGCACAGUUAGGAGGCCCGGGCUGGCCUUAAAGUCAUGACAGUCUUGCCUCAGCCUCCAGUGUGCUGGGACGAGCGUCGUGUGUCACCUCAACAGGAGUCCUCGCAUUCUGCUAAAGUGCUCACGGCUCCAGAUGUGCACUGUGGCCUCAGGGCCUUUGCACUGUCUUCCCUUCUGAGCAGCCUCCUUUCCCCAGACGCCUUCAGAACCUACUUCAGGACUUCUUUCUGUUCACCUCCCAGACUCAGGACAGAUCCCCCUUUCACUCUGGAAGGCUGGACAAGAGAGACCCAGAAUCUCUAGAAAACGGGACUGGAUUUCACCCCACAGCCUCAAAACUUGUUUUCGGAAAACUCAAAACACGUCAAGCAAUGACCC